GACGAUUCCUACGGGAGGCGGCGGUGGGGAAUAUUGCACAAUGGGCGAAAGCCUGAUGCAGCAACGCCGCGUGAGUGAUGACGGUCUUCGGAUUGUAAAGCUCUGUCUUUUGGGACGAUUAUGACGGUACCGAAGGAGGAAGCCGCGGCUAACUACCUGCCGGCGGCCGCGGUAAU
rnacentral:rRNA from 1 species